rnacentral:rRNA from 1 species
UACAGAGGGGGCAAGCGUUAUUCGGAAUUAUUGAGCGUAAAGGGCGCGUAGGCGGCUUUGCAAAUGACGGGUGAAAUCCCUCGGCUUAACCGAGGAACUGCCUGUCAAACUGCAUGGCUUGAGACCGGGAGAGGUGAGUGGAAUUCCCAGUGUAGCGGUGAAAUGCGUAGAUAUCGGGAGGAACACCAGAGGCGAAGGCGGCGCACUGGACAGCAACUGACACUCAACUGCGAAAGCGUGGGGAGCAAACAGG